UGGCGUAGGGGUAACGUGCCCUAACUAGAGAUCAGGAAGUCGUGAGUUCGAAUCUCAC
rnacentral:tRNA from 1 species